CCAUUCAAGGAAGGAGCAGGCGCGCAAUUACCCAAUCCUGACUCAGGGAGGUAGUGACAAGAAAUAACAAUAAACCGGCUUAUGCCGGUUUAAUUGGAAUGAGUACAAUUUAAACAUCUUAACGAGGAACAAUUGGAGGGCAAGUCUGGUGCCAGCAGCCGCGGUAAUUCCAGCUCCAAUAGCGUAUACUAAAGUUGUUGCAGUUAAAAAGCUCGUAGUUGGAUUUCUGUGGGGACGGAGCGGCCGGCCGCACAUCGCGGUUCGAGCUAGCGCUUUCCCUACAUCCUGCCGCGAACCGUGCUACCAUUAGUUUGGUGGCGCCGGGGAUCGGCUCGAUUACUUUGAGAAAAAUAGAGUGUUCAAAGCAGGCCACAUGCCUUGAAUAAGUUAGCAUGGAAUAAUAACUAAGGACUUCGGUUCUAUUUUGUUGGUGUUCGGGACUGAAGUAAUGAUUGAUAGGGACAGUUGGGGCGGUCUGUAUUCCAAAGCGAGAGGUGAAAUUCUUAGACCUUCGGAAGACAAACAGCUGCGAAAGCGUUCCGCAAGGAUGUUCCCUUUGAUCAAGAACGAAAGUUGGGGGAUCGAAGACGAUCAGAUACCGUCGUAGUCUCAACUAUAAACUAUACCAGCUAGGGAUCGGCCAACGUUAUUUUAUACCGACUUGGUCGGCACCUUAUGAGAAAUCAAAGCAUCUGGGUUCCGGGGGGAGUAUGGUCGCAAGGCUGAAACUUAAAGGAAUUGACGGAAGGGCACCACCAGCCGUGGAGCCUGUGGCUUAAUUUGACUCAACACGGGAAAACUUACCAGGUCCAGACAUAGUAAGGAUUGACAGAUUGAUAGCUCUUUCUUGAUUCUGUGGGUGGUGGUGCAUGGCCGUUCUUAGUUGGUGGAGUGAUUUGUCUGGUUAAUUCCGUUAACGAACGAGACCCCAGCCUGCUAAAUAGCGCGCGUGAGCUUUGCUCGCGGCGAGCUUCUUAGAGGGACUAUGAUGCGCGAUAGCACAUGGAAGUUUGGGGCAAUAACAGGUCUGUGAUGCCCUUAGAUGUUCUGGGCCGCACACGGGCUACACUGGCGCCUGCAACGAGCAUAUCAGCUGGCCCGAGAGGGUCUUGGCUAAUCUUUUGAACCGGCGCCGUGCUUGGGAUUGACCUUUGCAAUUAUUGGUCAUGCAACGAGGAAUGCCUUGUAAACGCGAGUCAUCAGCUCGCAUUGAAUACGUCCCUGCCCUUUGUACACACCGCCCGUCGCUCCUACCGAUGAAUGUUCCGAUGAAAUUUUCGGAGAGCACCUGUGAACUUGGCUCUGCCUUGCGAACGGGAGGCUCAAAGUCAC
rnacentral:rRNA from 1 species